AGCAAUCUGCCUUUGGAUGGGGGAUAACAGCCGGAAACGACUGCUAAUACUGCAUGAUGCAGCGGGGUCGCAUGAUUUUGCUGCCAAAGAUUUAUCGUCCAAAGAUGAGCUCGCGUCUGAUUAGCCAGUUGGCGGGGUAACGGCCCACCAAAGCGACGAUCAGUAGCCGGACUGAGAGGUUGAACGGCCACAUUGGGACUGAGACACGGCCCAGACUCCUACGGGAGGCAGCAG
rnacentral:rRNA from 1 species